GACCCGGUAGCACAUGGAGUGCACCCGCACACCGUUUCUUGCGGCGGACAAAUGUUGGCGGGAGGACCCCGUUCGAUCCGGGGCCGGGUCG